AAAAGGAAGAAAGAACCACUGUCUUAAAUUUCUGAUUGCAUGGUAAAACUUUUAAAAUAAGGUAAGAUCUCCAGAGUGUCAGGAUUAGUUCAAGAAACCCCUGUCUAGCCUGCACUAUGCUUUGUCCUACGCUCACAGUUACUACAACUUAAACUUACCAUCCGUGCAGUGCUGUCGCCUUAGAUCUAAGCCAAAUUCUGGUUUUGCCGGGUUUUGCAGCAGUCAUACCCUUUCAUCCUGAAUCGAAUGCAGGAUCCCAUGAUUCCUUGCUGUGCGUUCUCCAACAUGGCUUACUCUACUGAGAUGGUUUUCACCAUUGAAAGUACUACCUUUGUCACUAUUUAAGGGAACUGGUCAGACGUUCAGAUGUUUUCUGGGAUAGCUCAAGGUGACCUCUCCUAGGGACUUCUCAGCAUGAGGUCAGAGAUAUGGGUUUCAGCAAGAAUACACAGAAGACUGAGAUAGGUUUUAGCACUUUAAGAACUAGAAAAUAAGAUUUGUUUAAGUAUUUUCCUAGUUAAUUAGUGGUGGAAUUGGCAUGGGAAAGUUGAUUGUGGGCGUUUCCCUCCGCAUUUUAUGAUUAUUGCUGUUUAGGUUUCUGUGAUUAUAAUGCCAUGAAAUUGGGGCGUUUCUGGUGACUUUUUACUCAGUUCUUUUUCCAGUUCUCUGUGAGGUCUGUCCACCUGCCCCAUCCUCAUAGAAAGCUUAGGCGCUGCCACAGCCAGCUCAGAAUCUUACUAGUUGACAACUGUGCCAGUUUGGUCAGGCUGUUUCAGCUGUGUCCUUGAGUUGAGUGGGUAGGGCGUGGGGCUCUGUGGAGCCUCCCUAUGGCUUUUUUCCAUCUUAAGAAGUAAACAGAUUUGUUGAAAAUGCCCGUUAGGUUAGUUGCUUAUGUAGCCUGAAUUAGUAUAAAUACAAAUAUCUCAGGUCUUUGAAAAAUAUCUCUGGAAUAGGUAAUAAAAAACCACUGAAGGUUUCUGCUGGAAACAGAGAACCAUGAAUAAUUCUUAGGGCAGCCACAGUCAGAAAGGGCUGGUAAGAGAGAUGCUACCCUCUAGAUUCCUUCUCAGUGUGUCAUUUUCAUACCUGCACGUGCAGAACUGUCUACAGGGAGGAGCUGGUGUGUGUUUGUGUGUGUGUGUGUGUCCCAGUACGCACAUGUGCUCAUGUAUGCCUGUAGAUUGAUAGGUUUACACAUUUGUAUUGAUAUGUACAUACAUAUAUAGAGAGAGAUAUGUUAACAUAUAUGUUCCUAUAUAUAUUUAUAUUGCUAUGUAUGUCUGUAGUUAUAUGUUUUAGAAGAGGAAAUGGUAUUUAGUCAGCCAUGGCAAGCCUUAUCUUACUCUUUCCAAAUAUUUCAUAGCUGUAAUUCUAUCCAUUUUAUGAAAGAAGACAGUAAAUCCAGGAAGACUUGAGUUUCCCGAGCCACAGAACCAGCAGAGUACAGUACCGGGAUGCCAACCCAGAGCGGCUUCUGCUCUUCUCACUUGCUCAGGAGUUACCUCUUAUCACUGACGUAGUUUGGGGAGUAGAGGACCAUCCAUAGCCCUUCUUGCUGAAUCCUCCUUCACCUUCUCCCCAGCCACACAGGCAACCCAGGCCUCUGAAACACAAUAUUGAAUUUAAGAUAUAGUUUGAAAACUGCUAAUGCCUCCUUUAAUAUAAAGGAGAGUUUGUUGAUCAGCAGCACAUUUGAUACAUAGAUUGUGCUGUUGUUGUUGUUGUCGUUGUAGUUAACUGUUCUGAAAUGGAGUGCUUUAUAAGGGGACUAUAGAAUAUAGUCUAGCUCCCUGACUAGAGGGCGUCAUCAAGUGCUGUUCUCCUUCCCUGGCUCUUCCCCAUCAUCUCUGGUCUUUCUUUCCCAUCUCCUUACUUCCUCAGAGCUUACUCUCCAUGGUAUGCUAGUGGCCAUGCAAAAGGCAAUGCCACGGUUUCCCCUUGGGUCUCUACCUAGCCUAACCUCUAGCCAUCUCAUAAAGAACACAUUUUCUGGGUGUGCGCUGACGUCGGUGUGCUCUAGCAUUUGAGAGCUCCUCUCGUAAACAUGCAGUGCAAGCCCAAGAUACGUCCUCCUAGAUACUUCUGUAGGACAAUUUACUCAUGCCGCAUUGAAGCUGCCAUGCCCUAGUGUAACAGACUAGGUGCAGAGAUGAUUUAUAGGCAGAGAUGAUAUACCGACUCCAGCUUGAGUUAAUCUAACUCGUCUGGGCAUUUGCAGAUUUCUCUCCCUGUCAUUUCUUAGCAAGACUAGUCUUUUACUGCCCUGUAGGAGUGUAGCAGGUUUUCCUAAGUUUCCUGUUUACCAACAGAGCAAGGUCAUGUCUAGGUCAUUGCACUGCCCCAUCCUGGAGAUCUGUUGGUCCUCUAAGCAUUGACUGAAAUUCAUCUUUAGCUCUCUUUUCUCUUGACACAGCCAUUGAUUUUUUUUUUCUUGUUAUUAUUUUUUCUCUUGAACUGCCCCUCUAUGACUAGUUGAGUUGAUUUCUGAUCGGCUAACAGACUGCCUUUUCACUGCUCCGCUGCCUCCUGAGAUUAGAGUCAAGUCAAGUCAGUGUGAUGCUUGACCAUGAAGAUUCUCACUGGUUCCACCAUACGUAUGCCAGGCCAGUGCCCAGCACUCGGUAUGUGCAUCCCUUCACUUUCCUGUCUCCACUUCUCUCUCACUGACUCAUUGGUGAGCCGGCUGCUGGGACAGUGCAGUCCUGAGUGUCUCACUUGUUGGGAUGCUAGCUGUACAUCUUUAACAACUCUCACCUUGGAUACAUUUUCAGGUGGACUCUAUUCUCUUAUCUAGCGUAGCACUCUGUACUGUCCAAAAUAUUUCAUAUAUUCUCAUUUAAUCUAGUACACAACAUACAGAAUUUCAUUAUUUGGUUGUCUAAAAUUUCUACUCACUGGAAAACUUCCAUUCUGCCUUCUCUUUUUUUUUAAACCAAUUCAGCAAUAAUGAUCAAUCUAAGUAAAUGUCAAUAUUCUUCAAUACGUAAUUCAUUUUGGGGCCCCAGUCUGAUAGGGCUAGUAAUUUCAGUUAUUGCUAAGGAUAAUGAUAAUGGAGGGGGGGUGUAGUGCUAGCAAGCAUUCAUCAAAUGCUUACCUUGUUCCCAUGGGCAGUUUUUAAAGGCACCAGAUAUGUAUUAGCUCAUGAAGUUCUCUCAACUCAACUAGGUCCACAAAUAAGAAUUCUGGGAGGGUUUAAUAAGUCACUCAAGGUCGUGGGAUUCACAAGUGUCAGAGCCAACUAGUGAGCCCAGUUAUCCUGAUUCCAAACCCUAUAUACAUGAACUAUAGAAUAGCAGAAAUAACUACAAGAAACCAUAUGUGUUUAUUUGCUGAUAACUGCUUUGAAAACUUCUAAGUAUUCCAUGGAUGGUACUUUUGUUGUCACUACAACGUGAAGGACAGACACCCUGAGUCAUCCUUUGCUGAAUCAGCCUUUGCUGUUGCCGUUCUUGCUGUCUUGUUUGGCUGCAUGAAUUACAGAAAUGGAACAAGGCUGUCUUGUAAAUUUUUCUGAGUGUCUCCAUUGGCCACUGCCACUAACAUUACCUUAGAUUAAAAAAAAAAAAAAAAAUAAGGCUUUUAAAACAUGAGUCCCAAGGUGCAUGUAGGAAGUUAUAUUUAUAUAUUGCCUGUAGCCGGAAGGUCGGCCUGGACAGAGCCCCGCAGGCAGAACAGAGGUGGAGAGUGCUAAAUCUGAGGCUGACUGGGGGAUCGUUGUCUGGCUUGUAGUUGUGAUUUAUGGUGGGAAUACUUUCUUCAAGGAGUAGGAGUGGGUGGUGGCGAGGCAUGACAGCCGAAUGUAGUGCUGUUGGCCCUCUCUGCAGACGAUAAGGAGUCUCACUUGUUAGUGGAGCUCUUAAAGAGGUCUAUAAUUCACUAAUUAUAGAGAAUUGAUUUGAGUGAUUACCCAUCAGUACAUUCGCUGGGAUGAAAAUGUGGCUUUAAAAUUAGCACUGUUGGGACUGUGUACAAUGAAUGGAGGGCUCUUUGUUAACUCUGCCUUGUAUUAUCUGUGAGUAGAGACUGCAGACAUUCUAUUCAAAUUCAUUCAUCCUCAGGAGUCCUUUUGGGAAGCAGAAGGAUGCAAUGGAGAAGGGAAAUAGAGAUGUUUGUUUAAAACCUUGGUUUGGUCUUAACAGGUAGUUCCAGAAAAUACUGCAAGAUAGAAAAGGCCCCUUGGGCUAGGAACAAGUGUGUAGUAAAGAGGACGGUGUUACAAGGAAGUAGUAAGGGCCGGACUGUCAUGGAACUGUAUUCCUCUGCGUACAGGUUUUUGUUUUUUGUU
ensembl:sense_intronic